rnacentral:rRNA from 1 species
GAAUUCGCCCUUAGAGUUUCUUUCUGGCUCAGGACGAACGCUGGCGGCGUGCUUUAUACAUGCAAGUCGAACGAAUUAUUAAGGUAGCUUGCUAUCUUAAUAGUUAGUGGCGGACGGGUGCGUAACGCGUGAGCAAUCUGCCUAUCACUGGGGAAUAACAGGUAGAAAUAUCUGCUAAUACCGCAUAUGACCACAUCAGGGCAUCCUGAAGGGGUGAAAGAUUUAUCGGUGAUAGAUGAGCUCGCGUAGUAUUAGCUUGUUGGUGAGGUAACGGCUCACCAAGGCGAUGAUACUUAGCCCGCCUGAGAGGGUGAACGGCCACACUGGAACUGAGAUACGGUCCAGACUCCUACGGGAGGCAGCAGUAGGGAAUAUUGGGCAAUGGAGGCAACUCUGACCCAGCAACGCCGCGUGAAGGAUGAAGGUCUUCGGAUUGUAAACUUCUGUUAUAAAGAAAUAAGAAAGUGAAGGUACUUUAUGAGAAAGCACCGGCUAACUAUGUGCCAGCAGCCGCGGUAAUACAUAGGGUGCAAGCGUUGUCCGGAAUCAUUGGGCGUAAAGGGAGUGUAGGUGGCUUUGUAAGUUAAAUGUGAAAGCCUGCGGCUUAACCGCAGAGGUGCAUUUAAUACUGCAGGGCUAGAGUGUGGAAGAGGAAAGCGGAAUUCCUAGUGUAGCGGUUAAAUGCGUAGAUAUUAGGAGGAACACCAGCGGCGAAGGCGGCUUUCUGGGACAUAACUGACACUGAGGCUCGAAAGCGUGGGGAGCAAACAGGAAUAGAUACCCUGGUAGUCCACGCCCUAAACGAUGG